UCCGUAGGCGGCUUAUUAAGUCAGAGGUGAAAUCCCACAGCUUAACUGUGGAACUGCCUUUGAUACUGGUAGGCUUGAGUUAUAAGGAAGUAGAUAGAAUAUGUAGUGUAGCGGUGAAAUGCAUAGAUAUUACAUAGAAUACCGAUUGCGAAGGCAGUCUACUACUUAUAUACUGACGCUAAUGGACGAAAGCGUGGGGAGCGAACAGGAUUAGAUACCCUGGUAGUCC
rnacentral:rRNA from 1 species